GUUUGUUGCCCAAAGGCAAUAAUAGGCAACAAAGCUAUAUUUUGUUGUCCAAAAAGUUAUAUUGUGCGACAUCGAUUCAUGGUUCGUUGCCCUAGUAGAGACAAAGGACUGCAAAUAACUGAAUUCGUUGCCCAAAACUCUAAAAAAGAAGGCGGGAUAUUUUUUCCCGCUGCUAAAAUUUCACCUCAAAAAUUCUAAUUUCAAAUAACCUUUCUAAUACUUAACAAGUUUUUUCCGUCAGCUGUAAGAAAAAAAAAAAAAAAACUUAACAAGUUUUUUUACUGAAGUCCCAAACACCCUACAUCUCUUUUUCCCUCUAGAAUCCUCUAUUUCAUCAUCUUCAUCUCAAUUUCUCUUCUUCGAUCCAUUGAAACGGCUAUGGAGCUCUCUCUCGUCCACUGUAAAAGCUUCCAUGGUCAUCUGAACACGCUGAAGCGCAGCGAGAUUCUAACUAUACAAGAUUAUAUGAGAAGACCAUAAAAAACAACCGAGGAACCUGAAGUACACAUUGGAUAUAUUUGUGGUCUUUAUUAUAAUAAUAAGUGGGUAUAUUCUAGUGAUCAUUAAAUUUAACUUUGUAUAUAUAGUUCUCCUAGUAGAACAAUAUAAAUAUAGAUGUAAUUUUGAUUUUUUUGGAUUGAACUUGGAAAAGUAUGUAAUAUUUAAAAUGAUUGUUAUUAUAUGUUAUCUCAUAUCUCAAUUAUAAAAUGUAAA